ensembl:snoRNA
AGCAUUUGUGUGUGUGUGUCUUUGUUUAAUUCGUAACAAAGCCUGACAGACAGGUGCAAAUAAUAUGUCCUUUUUUCCAAUCCAGAACUCAUUGCUGAGUAUGAGAUUGUGGUACAUGUGAGAAGGAAUAUG